UCAGUGUGGCUUAUCUAUUACAAUGGCCUGGUGGUUGUUAGCCUACAUACAAAUGGUAUGUGUGUUAUGCUGGGCUUAUUUUGUUUCUGUUGUAGUGCUCUGUCUAUGGUUAAUGGUUAUACUACUUGAAGGACCUCAUCGUCGUAUGUUGUAUGCUGACUACUCUGCCACUUGAUUAAACUUGAGCACAACUUUGUCUGUGAACACAUUCAAAACUGUUCGAAGUUGAACCAUAAAAAAUAGGGAU
rnacentral:lncRNA from 1 species